rnacentral:rRNA from 1 species
CGGAGGAUCCAAGCGUUAUCCGGAUUCAUUGGGUUUAAAGGGUGCGUAGGCGGACUGAUAAGUCAGCGGUGAAAUCUCUCGGCUCAACCGAGAAACUGCCGUUGAUACUGUCAGUCUUGAGUACAGAUGAUGUGGGCGGAAUAUGACAUGUAGUGGUGAAAUACUUAGAUAUGUCAUAGAACACCGAUUGCGAAGGCAGCUCACAAAACUGUCACUGACGCUGAGGCACGAAAGCGUGGGGAUCAAACAGGAUUAGAUACCCUGGUAGUCCACGCCCUAAACGAUGAUUACUCGAUGUUGGCGAUACACCGUCCAGCGUCCAAGCGAAAGCGUUAAGUAAUCCACCUGGGGAGUACGGCCGCAAGGCUG